AUGCAAAUGCAGUUCCCGGAGGGGUCGCUGCAGCAAUGGCUGCCGCGGUUGGAGCCCGAGCCAGCUCCGAUGAUGUCGGUCGGGCUGGGCCUCAGGUUACCAUACGACUCUACCGGCGGUCCGAUGGGGUUGCCGGAGCUCAUGAUGGGCCAGUCAUCACUGUUCAGCGCCAAGCCGGCCACGCUGGACUUCCUGGGGCUCGGGAUGAGCCCCACCAAUGCAACGACGAGCAGGGGCCUCCCCGUGUUCAUGCAGCCCAUGGGCGGCGCGGUCGGCAUGGCCCGGACCGGCAGCGGCGCGGCAGAGACGUUCGGCUCCGGCCCGAGCGCUCAGGCCAAGCCGUGGGAGAGGAACCCGAGAAGCUCGCCGAUCCUGUGA
rnacentral:rRNA from 1 species